GAAAUAUAUAUUAUUAAGCUGCUAACUUAAUUUAUAGUGGUUAAUACCAUUAAUAUUUCU
rnacentral:tRNA from 1 species